GACUAAGAAUAAUGGUCCGCCGUAUUUUUCAAAAGGAUGGUGAGUCUCUCUCCCCAACUUACGCCUGCGAUCAAGCCUUGUGCUUGACUCGCUCAUAACACAAUGAUGCCCCUUCAACCUACCGCAUUUUAGCCAUUCUAUCUGAUCAAAUCCAACGAAUUUUCGGAGGAUUUGUUCAUCUGGGUUCUAUUUUUGUGCACUAUAUUCAACUGGGCACCCUGCCCAGAGCUUUAAAGAGACAAAUCACCGGUGUGGACUUGGGAUAGUUCUAACUAGUAAACCUGAGUCCCAACAGCUACUAGAACAGUGUACCUUACUAUCUUUUGGGAUUUAGUCGGGACUUGGAGCCUAGAUGGUUAAGGUGUUCCUGAACUCUGAUGGGCCUGGGAGUGGGGAGCGUAUAUGUUAUCUUCUAGAUGUCUUACUACAGGCGUGUGAAGCUACUGACUUAGAUGUCUGAUAUAAUGUUUGUGCAUAUUGUGUCUCAGACAAUGUAUGAUGCUGCUAAUAUAAACUGUUGUCUGUCUGUC